AGAGGCUGAAGGAGGUGAUUUCAAUCAAGGCCUGAAUGAACAGCUUGCAGGUGAGUUAAGCAGUAAGGAGCUUAAACUAGUGGGAGGAGCAUCUUGUUUGGAGGAGUCCAAAUAGGCAGAGUCCAUGGGUAUAUGGAGAAUCCCAGCCUGAGAGUUGGGGGAUGUGUGAUUUCUCAGAGUUCACACCUCUCUGAAGCUACCAUAAAUAGCAGCUCCUCAGUGGCACUCUCAGAACUGGGAGUCGGCAGCAGCAGCACAGAGGAGAAGCUGGGGAAGGAAGGAGCAUGGAGGAGCCCAGUGAACGAGACAGGAGUAUUCUUGGACUCUAUGAUAGUCUCCUCAUCAGUCUGCAGAACCUCCUCACCUGUCCAGUCUGCAAAAGUUAUUACGAUAAACCUGUAACCUUAUUUAGCGGCCACACCUUAUGUCAGUCCUGCCUUCCCCAAGAAUCCCAAACUGUCCACAUCAAGACCGACUGGAGGAUACAGAAUAUGGCAAACCUGGUCAAGGUGUUGAAACCAAGCCUGGAAGAGCCUCAAUCUGUCUCAGAGAGAUAGUGCUUCAGGCAUGAUGAACCCUUCACCCUCCUCUGUGAAGAAGACAAGCAGGAAAUCUGCCAGAUCUGCAAGUUCUCCAUCCUUCACAGGGGCCAUAACCUGACCCAACUACAAGACCUAGAAGCAUGUCUGGAGGUAAGUUGGCCAAACAAGCCAUCUUAGACUUGUGGGCCACCACUGAAUUCUCUUCCCCCAGCCUCUCAUAGAGAAGAAUACAAGAAGCACCACCAUCCAUCCUGUGUUCAGUCCACCCCCAUCCAUCCCCUCUGCUGUCCUCCCUGGAAAACAAGUCUCAGUUUCCCAUGGACAGCAUCAUGAGGAAGACAGAAUCCAAAAUGGAAGAAAUUCCUCAACUGGAGCAUCUUCCCAGCCUACAUUCUGUCAUGCCUGCCACCUGCUGGCCUAUUUGGUGACUAACCUUGAAUAAAGUUUCUUCUCUGACCUAUUGGAUGUUGUUU
ensembl:lncRNA uncharacterized LOC103094640